rnacentral:rRNA from 1 species
GAUGAACGCUAGCGGCAGGCCUAAUACAUGCAAGUCGAGGGAGAAUGUUGGAUUCGUCUGACAUGAAACCGGCGCAUGGGUGCGUAACACGUAUGCAACCUACCCUUAACUGGGGUAUAGCUCAGAGAAAUCUGAAUUAAUCCCCCAUAAGACUACGACAUGGCAUCAUGAUGUAGUUAAAGCUCCGGCGGUUAAAGAUGGGCAUGCGGUACAUUAGCUAGUUGGUGAGGUAAUGGCUCACCAAGGCUACGAUGAAUAGGGGUUCUGAGAGGAUCAUCCCCCACACUGGUACGGAGACACGGACCAGACUCCUACGGGAGGCAGCAGUAGGGAAUAUUGGUCAAUGGACGGAAGUCUGCACCAGCCAUGCCGCGUGAAGGAUGAAGGCCCUAUGGGUCGUAAACUUCUUUUAUUAGGGAAGAAAAAACGGGAUGCGUCCUGUACUGACGGUACUUAAUGAAUAAGGAUCGGCUAACUUCGUGCCAGCCGCCGCCGUAA